rnacentral:rRNA from 1 species
CAAUAGCGUAUAUUAAAGUCGUUGCAGUUAAAAAGCUCGUAGUUGGAUUUGUGGCGUACGGUGUGUUCCGGGCACUUGUUGUCUGAGUAACCUGCUGUUGCCAUCCUUGGGUGGAACCUGUGUGGCAUUAGGUUGUCGUGCAGGGGAUGCCCAUCAUUUACUGUGAAAAAAUUAGAGUGUUCAAAGCAGGCUUAUGCCGUUGAAUAUAUUAGCAUGGAAUAAUGAGAUAGGACUUUUUUGCUAUUUUGUUGGUUUGCGCAAAGAGGUAAUGAUUAAUAGGGACAGUUGGGGGUAUUCGUAUUCCAUAGUCAGAGGUGAAAUUCUUGGAUUUUUGGAAGACGAACCACUGCGAAAGCAUUUACCAAGGAUGUUUUCAUUAA